CUGGUUUGUCAUGACAAAGCACAUGAAAUGAAAUACAGGGUUAGUCCCCAGGGGUCACCCCCACCCCAUGCCAUUUAAGAAAGUUCUAAUAUCUUGUAAUGGUCAAGAUCCCCACCCCUAAACCAUAUAUAUUCUGGUUUGUCAUGCUAAGAUGGUUUGAAUGAUAUACAGGGUUAGUCCCCAGGGGUCAUCCUGACCCCCUGCCAUUUGAAAAAGUUCUUAUAUCUUGUAAAUGGUCGAGAUCCCCACCCCUAAACCAUAUAUAUUCUGGUUUGUCAUGCCAAGAUGAUUUGAAUGAUAUACAGGGUUAGUCCCCAGGCAUCACUAAUGCAUAUAACUUUACUGGACCAAACUAAUUUUCACUGGACUUUGCCCAAUGUCAGGCGACCCUGGGAAUUACGAAUUAUGGGAGCUUCGUUUGGGAGACUUCGUAACAGCAUCCUGUUACAAUCAUUUCUUGUUAUUAUUAUUAUUCUUCUUCCUCUUCCUCUUCCUCUUCCGCCGCUUUUAAAUUUGAACUUGUCUGCACCCGUUCUCCAAAACCGCUUGUCAGAUUAACUUAGGGUUUCACAAUAUGUUAGACUAACAUGUCUAGUGGUGCAAUCAGGGUUUUGUUUGUGCAAUGGGGUUUAUAAAGGGGUACUUUGAGGGGCAAAAAGAAAAGAGGGUUUUACUAUAGAACCCUAUGGGAUUUUAUUUUUUAAAAUUUUCAAAUGAUUAUAAAUUGAAAACCGUUUGUGAUAGACACAAUCUUUUUAAUUGAAAAUGUUCUAAAUGAUAAAACCCAUUAAAUGAAAUACAGGGUUAGUCCCCAGGGGUCAUCCCCACCCCCUGCCAUUAAUGAAAGUUCUAAUACCUUGUAAGUGGUCAAGAUCCCCACCCCUAAACCAUAUAUAUUCUGGUUUGUCAUGCUAAGAUGGUUUGAAUGAUAUACAGGGUUAGUCCCCAGGGGUCAUCCCGACCCCCUGCCAUUUGAGAAAGUUCUGAUAUCUUUAAAUGGUCGAGAUCCCCACCCCUAAACCAUAUAUAUUCUGGUUUGUCAUGAUAAAAGCACAUGAAAUGAAAUACAGGGUUAGUCCCCAGGGGUCACCCCCACCCCAUGCCAUUUAAGAAAGUUCUAAUAUCUUGUAAGUGGUCAAGAUCCCCACCCCUAAACCAUAUAUAUUCUGGUUUGUCAUGCUAAGAUGGUUUGAAUGAUAUACAGGGUUAGUCCCCAGGGGUCAUCCCGACCCCCUGCCAUUUGAGAAAGUUCUAAUAUCUUGAAAGUGGUCAAGAUCCCCACCCCUAAACCAUAUAUAUUCUGGUUUGUCAUGCGAAGAUGGUUUGAAUGAUAUACAGGGUUAGUCCCCAGGGGUCACCCCCAGCCCCUUCUAUUUAAGAAAGUUCUAAUAUCUUGUAAGUGGUCAAGAUCCCCACCCCUAAACCAUAUAUAUUCUGGUUUGUCAUACCAAGAUGGUUUGAAUGAUAUACAGGGUUAGUCCCCAGGGGUCAUCCCGACCUCCUGCCAUUUGAGAAAGUUCUAAUAUCUUGUAAAUGGUCGAGAUCCCCACCCCUAAACCAUAUAUAUUCUGGUUUGUCAUGAUAAAGCACAUCAAAUGAAAUACAGGGUUAGUCCCCAGGGGUCACCCCCACCCCCUGCCAUUUAAGAAAGUUCUAAUAUCUUGUAAGUGGUCAAGAUCCCCACCCCUAAACCAUAUAUAUUCUGGUUUGUCAUGCGAAGUUGGUUUGAAUGAUAUACAGGGUUAGUCCCCAGGGGUCACCCCCAGCCCCUUCUAUUUAAGAAAGUUCUAAUAUCUUGUAAGUGGUCAAGAUCCCCACCCCUAAACCAUAUAUAUUCUGGUUUGUCAUACCAAGAUGGUUUGAAUGAUAUACAGGGUUAGUCCCCAGGGGUCACCCCACCCCCUGCUAUUUAAGAAAGUUCUAAUAUCUUGUAAGUGGUCAAGAUCCCCACCCCUAAACCAUAUAUAUUCUGGUUUGUCAUACCAAGAUGGUUUGAAUUAUAUACAGGGUUAGUCCCCA